GACAGAGGUGCCGAGCGUUAGGCGGAAUCACUGGGCUUAAAGCGUGUGUAGGCGGAUGGGUAAGUACCUUGUGAAAUCCCACGGCUCAACCGUGGAACUGCUCGGUAUACUGCUCGUCUUGAGCCAACUAGGGGCGACCGGAACAAACGGUGGAGCGGUGAAAUGCGUAGAUAUCGGAAGGAACACCGGUGGCGAAAGCGGCGCGCUGGACCUCUUCUGACGCUGAGGCGCGAAAGCCAGGGGAGCGAACGGG
rnacentral:rRNA from 1 species